rnacentral:piRNA from 1 species
UCCCUCAUAACGAGGUGCUUCCUCCUCCAAU